GACGAACGCUGGCGGCGUGCUUAACACAUGCAAGUCGAACGGUAAGGCCCUUCGGGGUACACGAGUGGCGAACGGGUGAGUAACACGUGGGUGAUCUGCCCUGCACUUCGGGAUAAGCCUGGGAAACUGGGUCUAAUACCGGCUAGGACUCCUGGCUUCAUGGUUGGGGGUGGAAAGCUUUUGCGGUGUGGGAUGGGCCCGCGGCCUAUCAGCUUGUUGGUGGGGUAAUGGCCUACCAAGGCGACGACGGGUAGCCGGCCUGAGAGGGUGACCGGUCACACUGGGACUGAGAUACGGCCCAGACUCCUACGGGAGGCAGCAGUGGGGAAUAUUACACAAUGGGCGCAAGCCUGAUGCAGCGACGCCGCGUGAGGGAUGACGUCCUUCGGGUUGCAAACCUCUUUCAGCUAUGACGAAGCGCAAGUGACGGUAGUAGCAGAAGAAGGACCGGCCAACUACGUGCCAGCCGCCGCCGUAA
rnacentral:rRNA from 1 species